GGGGGUCCUAUUUCAUCCAGUUCGCGCGGAAGAAGUGAGCUUGCUCCGGGAUUUUAGCGGCGGACGCCGAGUAACACGUGGGUAACCUGCCUGUAAGACUGGGAUAACUCCGGGAAACCGGGCUAAUACCGGAUAGUUCCUUGAACCGCAUGGUUCAGGAGAAGGACGGUUCGGCCGGUAACUUAAGAUGGCCCGGGGGGGCAUAAGCAAGUUGGUGGGGAAAGGGUCCACCAGGGCGACCAUCCGAACCCAACCUGAGAGGGGUUCGCCCCCCAUGGGAUUGAGACACGCCCCGACCUCAUAAGAAAGGGGGGGGGGGGAUCUUCCGAAAGGAAGAAAAGCUGAAGGACCACCCCGGGGGAGGAAGAAGGUUUCGGAUCGUAAAGUUUUUUGUAGGAAAAAACAGGUGCGAAAUAACUGCUCGCACUUGGCGGACUUAACCAGAAAGCCGGGUUAAUUCGUGGCCGGCGGCCGCGUAAAUCAUGGUGGAAGCGUGCCAGAAUAUUGGCCUAAAGGGCUGCAGCCGUUUCUUAGUCUGAUGGAAGCCCCCGCUCAACCGGGAGGUCAUUGGAAACGGGCAACUUGAGUGCAGAAGAGGAGAGUGGAAUUCCACGUGUAGCGGUGAAAUGCGUAGAGAUGUGGAGGAACACCAGUGGCGAAGGCGACUCUCUGGUCUGUAACUGACGCUGAGGAGCGAAAGCGUGGGGAGCGAACAGGAUUAGAUACCCUGGUAGUCCACGCCGUAAACGAUGAGUGCUAAGUGUUAGGGGGUUUCCGCCCCUUAGUGCUGCAGCUAACGCAUUAAGCACUCCGCCUGGGGAGUACGGUCGCAAGACUGAAACUCAAAGGAUUGACGGGGCCCGCACAAGCGGUGGAGCAUGUGUUUAUUCGAAGCACGCGAAGAAUCCUUUACCAGGUCUUGACAUCCUCUGGACAACCCUAGAGAUAGGGCUUUCCCUUCGGGGACAGAGUGACAGGUGGUGCAUGGUUGUCGUCAGCUCGUGUCGUGAGAUGUUGGGUUAAGUCCCGCAACGAGCGCAACCCUUGAUCUUAGUUGCCAGCAUUCAGUUGGGCACUCUAAGGUGACUGCCGGUGACAAACCGGAGGAAGGUGGGGAUGACGUCAAAUCAUCAUGCCCCUUAUGACCUGGGCUACACACGUGCUACAAUGGACAGAACAAAGGGGCUGCAAGACCGCAAGGUUUUAGCCAAUCCAUAAAUCUGUUCUCAGUUCGGAUCGCAGUCUGCAACUCGACUGCGUGAAGCUGGAAUCGCUAGUAAUCGGCCGGAUCAGCAUGCCGCGGUGGAAUACGUUCCGGGCCUUGUACACACCGCCCGUACAGACUGACCGUAGCACAGACCCUAAAAUCUGACCGGUAGAAGGAUGUAACACUCCCCCAGAAAGAAUUUCUCAGGAUCGAGGGGAGA
rnacentral:rRNA from 1 species